GACGAACGCUGGCGGCGCGCCUAACACAUGCAAGUCGAGCGAUGAAAUUUUAACCGAUCUCUUCGGAGAGAAGAUAAAAUGGAUUAGCGGCGGACGGGUGAGUAACACGUGAGAAACCUGCCUUUCACAAGGGGAUAGCCUCGGGAAACCGGGAUUAAUACCCUAUGACACAUUUCCUUCGCAUGGAAGAAAUGUUAAAACUCCGGUGGUGAAAGAUGGUCUCGCGCCUGAUUAGCUAGUUGGUGGGGUAACGGCCCACCAAGGCCAUGAUCAGUAACCGGCGUGAGAGGGUGAACGGACACAUUGGAACUGAGAUACGGUCCAAACUCCUACGGCAGGCAGCAGUGGGGAAUAUUGCACAAUGGAGGAAACUCUGAUGCAGCGACGCCGCGUGAGCGAUGAAGGCUUUCGAGUCGUAAAGCUCUGUCCUAUGGGAAGAUAAUGACGGUACCAUAGGAGGAAGCCCCGGCUAACUACGUG
rnacentral:rRNA from 1 species